AUUUAAACUAUGAUGGAGAGAGUAAGUACAAAUGUGCUUAAAGGGAGAGUAAAUCAUUGACUGAGAGUUUGCUUAUGUUUACAUUGUACCGAAGUUCACUCCGGAGUUCUAAUUGUGAACUAGAGUAGCAAUUAGCGGUAAAUCCGAUAUCUUUUUAAGAGAAUAUAUAUUUAAUUAUAUGUUAAAUAGGGUGGUACCGCGGAGAUAGUUCGUCCCUUUG
rnacentral:ncRNA from 1 species